rnacentral:tRNA from 1 species
GGCCGGCUGGCCUAAUGGUUAAGGCGUCAGUUUCCGGAAUUGUGACGAUUUGUUCACUGGAAUAGCUGAAGAUUCGGGGUUCGAAUCCCCGGUUGGUCG